CGGGGAGUUUCUGGAACCAUGACAGUCUGAAUAAGGGCAAGUCAAAGACAACCCGAUUACCCCUCCGAUGUUUGUGAGUGUACUGAUUCACAACCGCCAGAACGUUCCCGCUCAUGGAAUGGGGGACCCCCACGAGGUUUCGUGAACAUAUAUUUGGGUUGCAACUGGGUAAGAUAUUCAAAACAAACCCCUCUGAGUGAGCCUGAGAUCUUGAAAUUGGGAUCUAAAAAAGGCAAUAAUGCCAAGUAAUUGUUGUGUGCCGUUGUGCCCUGGCAAAGGAGGCGCUUCCUUUCCAUCCAAUGACGCCUUGAAACGAGAUUGGUGUAUCGCCAUUAAGAGAGUGGACCCAGAACGUCGCUAUAACCUUUGGAAGCCAUCUCCAAACUCAAGAGUAUGCCACAAGCAUUUUGGGGGAUCGGAAAUUAUUUUGAAGAAUGGUCGUCGGCUUAUCAAGAAAAAUGCUGUUCCAUCAUUUUUACCUUUCCAAAAGCAGUCAGUCUGCUCAAAUAGAUUGGAACGAGCAUUGAAACGAAGGGAGAGGGAGAGAAAAGAGCUUGAAAAGGAAACAAGUGGAAACUUUCACGAAAAUUAUGACGCUGCGGAUGUGCCAAACAUUUAUAUGGAAAUCGAGGUGAACGAAGCCAUAGAAGAAGCUUAUGAAUAAACCAGGAACAAGAAGAAUGCCUGGAAAAUGAUUCAGAUCUUUGCAAAACAUUAUAAUCGGAAAGAUUAAAGCUCAGUCGUUUCAGCAAAACCCCGCUCUGUUCAAGUAUUAUACUGGUCUUUGGACUACAGCCAUUUCAAGUAC